AGCUUUGCACAGUGGCAGUAUCGUAGCCAAUGAGGUUUAUCCAAGGCGCGAUUAUUGCUAAUUGAAAACUAAUAAUGUUCAGUUCAUAGACUUUUUUCAAGAGGUAAUUUUCUAAUAUCUUGGUUUGGU
ensembl:snRNA U4 U4 spliceosomal RNA